rnacentral:rRNA from 1 species
CAGUAGCCACGGGAAUACGAAGGGGGCUAGCGUUGCUCGGAAUCACUGGGCGUAAAGGGUGCGUAGGCGGGUCUUUAAGUCAGGGGUGAAAUCCUGGAGCUCAACUCCAGAACUGCCUUUGAUACUGAAGAUCUUGAGUUCGAGAGAGGUAAGUGGAACUGCGAGUGUAGAGGUGAAAUUCGUAGAUAUUCGCAAGAACACCAGUGGCGAAGGCGGCUUACUGGCUCGAAACUGACGCUGAGGCACGAAAGCGUGGGGAGCAAACAGGACUAGAUACCCGCGUAGUCCCUGUCUCUUAUAC